rnacentral:lncRNA from 1 species
GCAGAGCAGAGGAAUGACCCAUGGAAAUCUCACUGCCGCAUUGGGGUGCUCAAUCCAGGGAAACAUUCAAAGCUGCUCCUGUCUGUCAGCUAAAGAUGACAAAUAUUUAUCAUCUCUGGACACCCCUCCAGCCUCUGAAAUAUGUACUCCAGUCAUGAAGCAGAGAAUGUUAUAGAGAAGACAAAGAAUUAAAUGAACCUUCUGAGGACUUCAAGCCUGGGAAGCAGCCUCUCAGACAGCUCCGCCUGCUCCAAAAGAGGUAAAGGAGAAGCCAGAAUAUAUAGGAAUUUUACAACAAAAAAACAGGUGCUAAAUCCCAGCCAUACACCAGUGCUAUAUCAUUACAAGUCAAGGUCUAUUUCUGGGAGUGACUGUGUGUCUGACCAAAGAGAUGAGUUAUCGAGGAAGAAGGCCUCCCUCGUCUAGGACACCAUUUUCUGGAAAAAGAUGAACAUCUGUAAGGACAGCCAGCUAGGCUGUUACAAGGCCUCCUCCUUCCAUCACCCCACAGGGAGUAAAUCUGGGCAGGGAAGGACCCAGCCAGAUGUGGAUGUCUGCAUGCUGCUGGGGCAACAUCCGCAUUUUUACAGAAAAAGACAGAUACCAUAUGAUCUCACUUGCACAUGGAAUCUAAAAACAAACAAAACAACUACCUCACAGAUACAGAAAACAGAUUGGUGGCUGCCAGAGCUGCUGCUUGCACAGUUGGAAUAACGUGCCACUAUGAGGUGGCUACUUCGUGAACCGGAGGUUCUCAUUCAGAGUAUAAAUUCAGAGGAAAGACAUCUUCAGGUAAAGAAGGAACAGAAAAUACCAAGUGGUUCUCCACAGGGACCUGUAUGUUUUUCACUACCUAUGGGAGGGAAGUGAAAACAUGUGUUUAGGGAUCCAUUGAAGAAUUUGGUGGUAUUCAUCCUAGUUCAGAGCAACCCCAUGCUGAGCAGAUUGCAUUCCAUCAUGAAAUAAUUGGUAUAGAGGACCUUGAAUAGGCAUGCUCUAUACUUCCGGCAUUUAGUAAAACUCAAAUGGCAGCUGUAAUGACAUUAGUUUAUCACUUCUCAUUCAUCAAAGACUAAAAGUAUUGGAGAAAUUCAUUGGAUAAUAUAACAUCCAUUACACCUUGACUCUGUAUCAGUGAUCAAAGGUGUAAAUACCAUAAGCACGACACUGAUGUUUAUACUCCAAAGUUUGACACCUCACUUUGGGCACAGGAAUAUUAAAAUGUUCUUAGCUAUAAUUCCUCUCCAAAUGUAAAAUUAAUCAUCAAGGCUUUCAAUAGCUUUACUUACUAUGCUGCACCUUAUUUUUUACAACAACCUAAGGAAAUACUCUAGCUACUGAGGCAGUGUUAUUGUAUGCCAAAAGGUGGAGGAGACUGCUAAUAAAGCAAAACCAACCCAAACCAAACCACCACCAACAACAAAACCCAGAAAACCAACUACUGAUAACGCAGAGGUAAGUUUUUAUUAGGGGUUCUAAAAUGACAUAUGCCAGCUAAAUUAAACUUUUUAAGAUGGUGGAUUAGCCACAGAGUGAAAUCUUUCACACAGACCUCAAAGAAAUCAUAGAAAAGAGUUUUUUAAAAAAUGAUUAAAUACAUAUUUAUGCUUGGAAACCAAAGAAGAGAAUCUCUACAGAUUAGAAAGACAUACCUCAAAAUAGGAAACAAAUAGGAAGCGACAGUGGUAAAAAGAGGCCAAUGCUUUCAGAAAACUAUACUGGUCUAAAGGCAUAUAUAUACACAUAUAUAGGUACAUGUGUAUGUGUGCACACACAUUUGCAGGAAAGAUUUUAUGAAACAUACCAUCUAGUUGUUUAUACUACAAGGGUCAUUUAAAACCUGAACUUUAGGUUCUCCAAAUUUAGGUUAAUAUUGUUGAGAUUUAGGUGAUGUCCUAAGGAGAUCAUUUAGAAUUCAUGAUGGACAAAAAAGUCAUUCUUAGAAAAUGAAAAAACAAGAGCAAGACACCAAGCAUCUGAAAAUCUAACAUGUGAAGGAAGGAAAACACAAUGCACUUAUGGAAGAGUUUAAACUUGGAAAGAAGAGAAAUAAUGCAGCAAUUUGAAAAUGUUUUUAAUAUGUGUAUUUAGUACCCAGGAAGAUAGCAAAUAAAGAUAUAAAUAGUUAUUUGCUUUUUUUAUAAAAAAAUAUAGAAAAUAUGCUAUUGACCAAUGCCAGGCACAUAUUAAACACUUUAUGAAAUUCAGCCAUUAUUUUCUUUCACUAUAAUUUUGGCUUCAUGAAAGCAGAGAAUUUUGUUUGUUUUAUUUACUGCUAUGUUCUCCAGCAUGUAGAAGAAUUUCUUACACAUGGAGCAAAAAUUGAACAACUAAUUUUUAGAUAAAAAGGCUCAGAGGAAAUGAACCCAACUAGCAUCCAUGAAGAUGUGGGUUCGAUCCCUGGCCCUCACUCAGUGGGUUAAGGAUUCGGAGUUGCCAUGAGCUGCAGUGUAGGUCACAGACGUGGCUCAGAUCUGGCAUUGCUGUGGCUGUGAUGUAGGCUGGCAGCUAUAACUUGGAUUAGACCCCUAGCCUGGGAACUUCCAUAUGCUACAGGUGUGGCCCUAAGCACCAAAAGAAAAAAAAA